rnacentral:rRNA from 1 species
CGCUGGCGGCAGGCCUAACACAUGCAAGUCGAGCGGAAACGAGUUAUCUGAACCUUCGGGGRACGRUAACGGCGUCGAGCGGCGGACGGGUGAGUAAUGCCUAGGAAAUUGCCUUGAUGUGGGGGAUAACCAUUGGAAACGAUGGCUAAUACCGCAUAAYGCCUACGGGCCAAAGAGGGGGACCUUSGGGCCUCUCGCGUCAAGAUAUGCCUAGGUGGGAUUAGCUAGUUGGUGAGGUAAUGGCUCACCAAGGCGACGAUCCCUAGCUGGUCUGAGAGGAUGAUCAGCCACACUGGAACUGAGACACGGUCCAGACUCCUACGGGAGGCAGCAGUGGGGAAUAUUGCACAAUGGGCGAAAGCCUGAUGCAGCCAUGCCGCGUGUAUGAAGAAGGCCUUCGGGUUGUAAAGUACUUUCAGUUGUGAGGAAGGGGGUGUCGUUAAUAGCGGCAUCUCUUGACGUUAGCAACAGAAGAAGCACCGGCUAACUCCGUGCCAGCAGCCGCGGUAAUACGGAGGGUGCGAGCGUUAAUCGGAAUUACUGGGCGUAAAGCGCAUGCAGGUGGUUCAUUAAGUCAGAUGUGAAAGCCCGGGGCUCAACCUCGGAACUGCAUUUGAAACUGGUGAACUAGAGUACUGUAGAGGGGGGUAGAAUUUCAGGUGUAGCGGUGAAAUGCGUAGAGAUCUGAAGGAAUACCAGUGGCGAAGGCGGCCCCCUGGACAGAUACUGACACUCAGAUGCGAAAGCGUGGGGAGCAAACAGGAUUAGAUACCCUGGUAGUCCACGCCGUAAACGAUGUCUACUUGGAGGUUGUGGCCUUGAGCCGUGGCUUUCGGAGCUAACGCGUUAAGUAGACCGCCUGGGGAGUACGGUCGCAAGAUUAAAACUCAAAUGAAUUGACGGGGGCCCGCACAAGCGGUGGAGCAUGUGGUUUAAUUCGAUGCAACGCGAAGAACCUUACCUACUCUUGACAUCCAGAGAAGCCAGCGGAGACGCAGGUGUGCCUUCGGGAGCUCUGAGACAGGUGCUGCAUGGCUGUCGUCAGCUCGUGUUGUGAAAUGUUGGGUUAAGUCCCGCAACGAGCGCAACCCUUAUCCUUGUUUGCCAGCGAGUAAUGUCGGGAACUCCAGGGAGACUGCCGGUGAUAAACCGGAGGAAGGUGGGGACACGUCAAGUCAUCAUGGCCCUUACGAGUAGGGCUACACACGUGCUACAAUGGCGCAUACAGAGGGCGGCGAAC